UACGUAGGGUGCAAGCGUUAAUCGGAAUUACUGGGCGUAAAGCGUGCGCAGGCGGUUGUGCAAGACAGAUGUGAAAUCCCCGGGCUCAACCUGGGAACUGCAUUUGUGACUGCACGGCUGGAGUGCGGCAGAGGGGGGAUGGAAUUCCGCGUGUAGCAGUGAAAUGCGUAGAUAUGCGGAGGAACACCGAUGGCGAAGGCAAUCCCCUGGGCCUGCACUGACGCUCAUGCACGAAAGCGUGGGGAGCAAACAGGA
rnacentral:rRNA from 1 species